CCUACGGGUGGGCAGCAGUGGGGAAUAUUGGACAAUGGGGGCAACCCUGAUCCAGCCAUGCCGCGUGUGUGAAGAAGGCCCUCGGGUUGUAAAGCACUUUCAGUGAGGAAGAACGCCUGGUGGUUAAUACCCAUCAGGAAAGACAUCACUCACAGAAGAAGCACCGGCUAACUCCGUGCCAGCAGCCGCGGUAAUACGGAGGGUGCGAGCGUUAAUCGGAAUUACUGGGCGUAAAGCGCGCGUAGGUGGCUUGAUAAGCCGGUUGUAAAAGCCCCGGGCUCAACCUGGGAACGGCAUCCGGAACUGUCAAGCUAGAGUGCAGGAGAGGAAGGUAGAAUUCCCGGUGUAGCGGUGAAAUGCGUAGAGAUCGGGAGGAAUACCAGUGGCGAAGGCGGCCUUCUGGACUGACACUGACACUGAGGUGCGAAAGCGUGGGUAGCAAACAGGAUUAGAUACCCGAGUAGUC
rnacentral:rRNA from 1 species